CGAUAGUGAACCAGUACCGUGAGGGAAAGGCGAAAAGAACCCCGGCGAGGGGAGUGAAAAAGAACCUGAAACCGUGUACGUACAAGCAGUGGGAGCACCUUCGGGUGUGACUGCGUACCUUUUGUAUAAUGGGUCAGCGACUUAUAUUCUGUAGCAAGGUUAACCGUAUAGGGGAGCCGCAGGGAAACCGAGUCUUAACUGGGCGUUAAGUUGCAGGGUAUAGACCCGAAACCCGGUGAUCUAGCCAUGGGCAGGUUGAAGGUUGGGUAACACUAACUGGAGGACCGAACCGACUAAUGUUGAAAAAUUAGCGGAUGACUUGUGGCUGGGGGUGAAAGGCCAAUCAAACCGGGAGAUAGCUGGUUCUCCCCGAAAGCUAUUUAGGUAGCGCCUCGUGAACUCAUCUUCGGGGGUAGAGCACUGUUUCGGCUAGGGGGUCAUCCCGACUUACCAACCCGAUGCAAACUACGAAUACCGAAGAAUGUUAUCACGGGAGACACACGGCGGGUGCUAACGUCCGUCGUGAAGAGGGAAACAACCCAGACCGCCAGCUAAGGUCCCAAAGUCAUGGUUAAGUGGGAAACGAUGUGGGAAGGCACAGACAGCCAGGAUGUUGGCUUAGAAGCAGCCAUCAUUUAAAGAAAGCGUAAUAGCUCACUGGUCGAGUCGGCCUGCGCGGAAGAUGUAACGGGGCUAAACCAUGCACCGAAGCUGCGGCAGCGACACUAUGUGUUGUUGGGUAGGGGAGCGUUCUGUAAGCCUGCGAAGGUGUGCUGUGAGGCAUGCUGGAGGUAUCAGAAGUGCGAAUGCUGACAUAAGUAACGAUAAAGCGGGUGAAAAGCCCGCUCGCCGGAAGACCAAGGGUUCCUGUCCAACGUUAAUCGGGGCAGGGUGAGUCGACCCCUAAGGCGAGGCCGAAAGGCGUAGUCGAUGGGAAACAGGUUAAUAUUCCUGUACUUGGUGUUACUGCGAAGGGGGGACGGAGAAGGCUAUGUUAGCCGGGCGACGGUUGUCCCGGUUUAAGCAUGUAGGCUGGUUAUCCAGGCAAAUCCGGAUAAUCAAGGCUGAGGUGUGAUGACGAGGCACUACGGUGCUGAAGUAACAAAUGCCCUGCUUCCAGGAAAAGCCUCUAAGCAUCAGGUAACAUCAAAUCGUACCCCAAACCGACACAGGUGGUCAGGUAGAGAAUACCAAGGCGCUUGAGAGAACUCGGGUGAAGGAACUAGGCAAAAUGGUGCCGUAACUUCGGGAGAAGGCACGCUGGUGUGUAGGUGAAGUCCCUGCGGAUGGAGCUGAGACCAGUCGAAGAUACCAGCUGGCUGCAACUGUUUAUUAAAAACACAGCACUGUGCAAACACGAAAGUGGACGUAUACGGUGUGACGCCUGCCCGGUGCCGGAAGGUUAAUUGAUGGGGUUAUCCGUAAGGAGAAGCUCUUGAUCGAAGCCCCGGUAAACGGCGGCCGUAACUAUAACGGUCCUAAGGUAGCGAAAUUCCUUGUCGGGUAAGUUCCGACCUGCACGAAUGGCGUAAUGAUGGCCAGGCUGUCUCCACCCGAGACUCAGUGAAAUUGAACUCGCUGUGAAGAUGCAGUGUACCCGCGGCAAGACGGAAAGACCCCGUGAACCUUUACUAUAGCUUGACACUGAACAUUGAGCCUUGAUGUGUAGGAUAGGUGGGAGGCUUUGAAGCGUGGACGCCAGUCUGCGUGGAGCCAACCUUGAAAUACCACCCUUUAAUGUUUGAUGUUCUAACGUUGGCCCCUGACCGGGGUUGCGGACAGUGUCUGGUGGGUAGUUUGACUGGGGCGGUCUCCUCCCAAAGCGUAACGGAGGAGCACGAAGGUUAGCUAAUCCUGGUCGGACAUCAGGAGGUUAGUGCAAUGGCAUAAGCUAGCUUGACUGCGAGCGUGACGGCGCGAGCAGGUGCGAAAGCAGGUCAUAGUGAUCCGGUGGUUCUGAAUGGAAGGGCCAUCGCUCAACGGAUAAAAGGUACUCCGGGGAUAACAGGCUGAUACCGCCCAAGAGUUCAUAUCGACGGCGGUGUUUGGCACCUCGAUGUCGGCUCAUCACAUCCUGGGGCUGAAGUAGGUCCCAAGGGUAUGGCUGUUCGCCAUUUAAAGUGGUACGCGAGCUGGGUUUAGAACGUCGUGAGACAGUUCGGUCCCUAUCUGCCGUGGGCGCUGGAGAAUUGAGGGGGGCUGCUCCUAGUACGAGAGGACCGGAGUGGACGCAUCACUGGUGUUCGGGUUGUCAUGCCAAUGGCACUGCCCGGUAGCUAAAUGCGGAAGAGAUAAGUGCUGAAAGCAUCUAAGCACGAAACUUGCCCCGAGAUGAGUUCUCCCUGAGACUAUAAGUCUCCUGAAGGAACGUUAAAGACGAUGACGUUGAUAGGCCGGGUGUGUAAGCGCAGCGAUGCGUUGAGCUAACCGGUACUAAUGAACCGUGAGGCUUAACCUU
rnacentral:rRNA from 1 species